AUUGAACGCUGGCGGCAGGCCUAACACAUGCAAGUUGAGCGGAGCGGCGGACGGGGGAGGAAUGCCUAGGAAUCUGCCUGGGAGUGGGGGAUAACGACCGGAAACGGGCGCUAAAACCGCAAACUAUCAGAAGCGCCUAGGUCGAAUUAGCUAGUUGGUGGGGUAAAGGCUUACCAAGGCGACGAUCCGUAACUGGUCUGAGAGGAUGAUCAGUCACACUGGAACUGAGACACGGUCCAGACUCCUACGGGAGGCAGCAGUGGGGAAUAUUGGACAAUUGGCGAAAGCCUGAUGCAGCCAUGCCGCGUGUGUGAAGAAGGUCUUCGGAUUGUAAAGCACUUUCAGUUGGGAGGCGUUACCCACAGAAUAAGCACCGGCUAACUCCGUGCCAGCAGCCGCGGUAAUAC
rnacentral:rRNA from 1 species